GAUGAACGCUGUCGGCGUGCCUAAUACAUGCAAGUCGAGCGAACAGACGAGGAGCUUGCUCCUCUGACGUUAGCGGCGGACGGGUGAGUAACACGUGGAUAACCUACCUAUAAGACUGGGAUAACUUCGGGAAACCGUAGCUAAUACCGGAUAAUAUAUUGAACCGCAUGGUUCAAUAGUGAAAGACGGUUUUGCUGUCACUUAUAGAUGGAUCCGCGCCGCAUUAGCUAGUUGGUAAGGUAACGGCUUACCAAGGCAACGAUGCGUAGCCGACCUGAGAGGGGGAUUGGCCACACUGGAACUGAGACACGGUCCAGACUCCUAAGGGAGGCAACAGGUGGGAAUCUUCCGGAAUGGGCGAAAGCUUGGCGGAGCAACGCCGGGGGAGGUAUGGAGGUCUUCCGGUCGGAAAACUCUUUUAAUAGGGAAGAACAAAUGUGUAAGUAACUAGGCACGUCUUGACGGUACCUAAUCAGAAAGCCACGGCUAACUACGUG
rnacentral:rRNA from 1 species